rnacentral:rRNA from 1 species
UACGGAGGGUGCGAGCGUUGUCCGGAAUCACUGGGCGUAAAGGGCGCGUAGGCGGCAUGCCAAGCGUGUGGUGAAAGCCCGGGGCUCAACCCCGGGUCGGCCGUGCGGACUGGCGUGCUCGAGCACUGUAGGGGCGGGUGGAAUUCCGGGUGGUAGCGGUGGAAUGCGUAGAGAUCCGGAAGAACACCGGUGGCGAAGGCGGCCCGCUGGGCAGGAAGACACCGCCAAGGUGGUCGGCUGACGCUGAGGCGCGACGCGUGGG